GCGAGUUUGAUCAUGGCUCAGGACGAACGCUGGCGGUGCGCCUUAUGCAUGCAAGUCGAGCGAAGCUUUUCAGUAGUUUACUACAGAAAAUGACUGAGCGGCGAACGGGUGAGUAACGCGUGAGCAACCUACCUUAGUUACUGGGAUAGCCCGAGGAAACUCGGAUUAAUACCGGAUAUACUUAUUUAAUCACAUGAUUUUUUAAGGAAAGGUCAGCCGAACUAAGAUGGGCUCGCGUUCUAUCAGCUAGUUGGUAGGGUAAUGGCCUACCAAGGCUACGACGGAUAGCUGGUCUGAGAGGACGAUCAGCCACACUGGGACUGAGACACGGCCCAGACUCCUACGGGAGGCUGCAGCAGGGAAUAUUGCGCAAUGAGCGAAAGCUUGACGCAGCGACACCGCGUGUGGGAUGACGGAUCUAGGUUUGUAAACCACUUUCAGGAGGGAAGAAAAUGACGGUACCUCCACAAGAAGCCCCGGCCAACUACGUGCCAGCAGCCGCGGUAAUACGUAGGGGGCGAGCGUUGUCCGGAUUUAUUGGGCGUAAAGAGCUCGUAGGCGGUUCAACAAGUCGGUCGUGAAAGUUCAGGGCUCAACCCUGAAAUGUCGAUCGAUACUGUUGUGACUAGGAUACGGUAGAGGUGAGUGGAUUCCGAGUGUAGCGGUGAAAUGCGUAGAUAUUCGGAGGAACACCAAUUGCGAAGGCAGCUCACUGGGCCGCUAUCGACGCUGAGGAGCGAAAGCUAGGGGAGCAAACAGGAUUAGAUACCCUGGUAGUCCUAGCUGUAAACGAUGGAUACUAGACGUAG
rnacentral:rRNA from 1 species